GGGGACCAUCCUCCAAGGCUAAAUACUCCUGACUGACCGAUAGUGAACCAGUACCGUGAGGGAAAGGCGAAAAGAACCCCGGCGAGGGGAGUGAAAAAGAACCUGAAACCGUGUACGUACAAGCAGUGGGAGCACCUUCGGGUGUGACUGCGUACCUUUUGUAUAAUGGGUCAGCGACUUAUAUUCUGUAGCAAGGUUAACCGUAUAGGGGAGCCGCAGGGAAACCGAGUCUUAACUGGGCGUUAAGUUGCAGGGUAUAGACCCGAAACCCGGUGAUCUAGCCAUGGGCAGGUUGAAGGUUGGGUAACACUAACUGGAGGACCGAACCGACUAAUGUUGAAAAAUUAGCGGAUGACUUGUGGCUGGGGGUGAAAGGCCAAUCAAACCGGGAGAUAGCUGGUUCUCCCCGAAAGCUAUUUAGGUAGCGCCUCGUGAACUCAUCUUCGGGGGUAGAGCACUGUUUCGGCUAGGGGGUCAUCCCGACUUACCAACCCGAUGCAAACUACGAAUACCGAAGAAUGUUAUCACGGGAGACACACGGCGGGUGCUAACGUCCGUCGUGAAGAGGGAAACAACCCAGACCGCCAGCUAAGGUCCCAAAGUCACAGUUAAGUGGGAAACGAUGUGGGAAGGCACAGACAGCCAGGAUGUUGGCUUAGAAGCAGCCAUCAUUUAAAGAAAGCGUAAUAGCUCACUGGUCGAGUCGGCCUGCGCGGAAGAUGUAACGGGGCUAAACUGUGCAC
rnacentral:rRNA from 1 species